rnacentral:misc_RNA from 1 species
GAUGAAGAACGUAGCGAAAUGCGAUAAGUAAUGUGAAUUGCAGAAUUCAGUGAAUCAUCGAAUCUUUGAACGCACAUUGCGCCCUCUGGUAUUCCGGGGGGCAUGCCUGUUCGAGCGUCAUUAUAACCACUCAAGCUUUCGCUUGGUAUUGGGGCUCGCGGUUCCGCGGCCCCUAAAAUCAGUGGCGGUGCCUGUCGGCUCUACGCGUAGUAAUACUCCUCGCGAUUGAGUCCGGUAGGUCUACUUGCCAGCAACCCCCAAUUUUUACAGGUUGACCUCGGAUCAGGUAGGGAUACCCGCUGAACUUAAGCAUAUCAAUAAGCGGAGGA